UCAGACUUUGAAGAUUGUUGUUUUGCUAUGGCCCAAAAAGUUGUUUUAUUGGGCCAUGAAAUACAACUAGUACUAGAUUAAAGAAUAAGAAAGACUAAGCUAAACCAAAGCGUUGGGCUUUCUCUUCGGGUCUUAACACUAUUACGAACUUAGAUCCGUGAGACUAUACCCGAUCCAUCCUCGCCCGAAUAUGGACUUUCUUUACCGCAAAAUCCCGAAAGCUUUUUUUUUUUUUUAAUUUUUGUUGAUACUGUUCCUCUGUCAAGUUUCAAGCUUCAACUGGGGGUUUUGAUUUAUGAAAAAUAUAUAUUUUCUCUAAUUUCCUAGGCUUUUUCAUUUUCCCCCAAAUUUCACUCUAUCUUCACAAAUUUUCUCUUCCGAUAACCCUUAGUGAAGAAGAAGAAGAAGAAGAAGGAGAGGAGGAAGGACUGGAAACAUGGGUGCACAAAAUCAGAGGACCCGAGGUGUUGGCAUGUCAUCCAUUGCAAGUCAUUCUCUUAGCCGAUAGCUUUGCCACCACGUUCCGUGAACGCCCCAAGAUACAUGGAGAUUUUGUUCUUAUCAGUGGAGAUAUAGUGAGCAACUUGUUGCUUACUUUGGCACUUCAGGAACAUAAAGAGAGAAGGAAAAAAGAUGCUAAUGCAAUAAUGACAAGGGUUGUUAAACAGUCAAAACCUUCUCCAAUCACUCAGCAGUCUCGAGUUGGUACUGAUGAACUCUUUAUGGCUAUCAAUCCUGACACGAAAUUGAAGAGGGUUUGUACGUUAUGAGGAUAAAGCAGAAUAUUGAAGAGGGUUUGUAUGUUAAACAGCUUCUAUGUUAUGAGGAUAAAGCAGAAUAUUGAAGAGGGUUUGUAUCUCUUGAUAAAACGCUGAUAGCUGAUAAUCUUUACAUCGUUCUGCACAAUGAUAAACAGGUUCAUUCUUCAAAUCAUCCAUUGAAAUUCUCUGGUUACAUUUCAGAUUAACUAUUAUGCCAUCCUUAAUUUUUUUUGGCACAGACACCGAAAAAGGAAGCUAUUAAUAUGUUGGUGGUGAAUUGCAUAGAAAUGCCGUGGAUGUAAUCACAACUUGGCAAAAACUUUUGAAGUCUUUCCUGCAUGAUAUAGAUGAGGAGGUUUGUGUUGUUGAUCUGGUGGAAAUUUCUGUAUCUUUUAUCUGAUUAAAUAUUAAUUACAAGCUGAAGGAAUAAUACUUGUUUUGGACUUCUACAUCUAAUUUCAUUCUUUGUACCAUCGAUCGGAUGGGUGGGGUGACUUCUAAGUUUUUAUACCACGUCAAAAUCAGUUUCUAGAAAUGCACACUUUUCCUAUUACAAUUUUGUGCUAAACUUUCUGGUAUUGCCUAACAGAUUGAGGUCAUCUUGAAAUUUGAAGAAAUAUGCCUGGAAUAUGCCAAUGCGUUCUCCCCCUUGUUUCCACAGGUAUUUCUAACAACAUACCUAGAUAUAGUAGGUUUAAAUGUGCAGAGAGAGAUUGGUUGAUAAGAUCUGGCUAGUAAGGUUUUUACAAAGUUUCUGUAGCCUAUGUCACAAUUAAAUGGUUAACCUUUUAAUGGCAAACAACUAAAAAGACAUUUGUGCAUUACUCCAUGAUUUGUCACAGUAAGCAUUCAAUAAUUUUUAUGGUAAACUCGAUUUGAUUAAUGAAAGGGAGUAGGUGCAGACCUAGAGACGGCAGUGAAGCUGCUAACUUGGGUAAUUAGUCUAGCUCCUCUACCAUUUUGAUGAUGUAAUUUGCAGGGCAAUUGCCCUUUAUUCAUGUAUGUGUAUGCUUCUUGACUUGAUAAUGCAUCUUCUAUAUGAUAAAGAAAUUCUACAAGAAGAUGCUACUUUGAAGUGGGCCGAUGAGAAGGAAGGGGCAGAUGAAUCAGAUAAAGUGUUUCUUAAGCGUUCAGAAAAACUCGUAGAGUGGUUGAGAGAGGCAGAAGAAGAAGAAGAAGAAGAAGAAGAUGAAGAUAGAGACAACCAUGCCAUGGCAAAACCUUGGUACAUAUUCGCAAUUUUGUUUUCGUGUGGCUAAGAAAAUCUUCCAAUUAGCCAUCACAAAUGUUGUAUGGAAACGUGCAAAAGCUGUCCAUAUAUGCAGAUUGACUUAUCUUAAUGAUUUUAAAUUUUUUUUCUUUUAUUCAAUAAUCUUUUUUUUAUGUCAGGC